UACAAUAAUAAUAAAAGCAUUAAGUGGAUGCCUUGGCAUUAAUUUUAUUUUUAGGACGUAAAAAAUGCGAAAAGCUAUAUUAAAUAAUAAUAUAUUUUGAAAUAUAGAUUUCCUAGAGAAAACUUUUUCUUUGUGAAAAUUUUAAAAGCAGUGAAUUGAAAUAUCUAAGUAACUGUUAAAAAAAUCAAACGAGAUUCCGUGAGUAAUGACGAGUGAAAAUGGAAAAUACGUUUAUAAAAAUAAAUAAAAUUUAUUCGAAUAAUUUUAAAAAUUAACGUAAAAAGUUAAAGUCCUGUAGAAUAAUUUAUAUUUUUAUAAUAGUAAAAAGAGGUAUGUGUAAUCUUUUUUGAAUAUUGGGGAACCACCCUCAAAACCUAGUAAAAAUUAAUGAUCGAUAGUGUACAAGUACUGUAAAGGAAAGGUGAAAAAGAACUUUUGAGUUUGAAAUAAUUCUGAAACUUAAUGUUAACAAUCAAUUGGAACUUUUUAUUAAAGUGACAGUGUACCUUUUGCAUAAUGGGCCAGCAAGUUUAUUUUUAUAGCAAGCUUAAUUUUUUAAAGUAGGCGCAGAUAAAUCAAGUUUUAAAAAGCAAUAUAGUUAUAAAAAUAAGACCCGAAACCGAGUGAUCUAACCAUGAACAGAUUGAAAAAUAGGUAAAACUAUUUGGAGGAUCGAACUCACAUGUGUGGCAAAACAUGGAGAUGAUUUGUGGUUAGGAGUGAAAGGCUAAUCAAACUCGGAGAUAGCUGGUUUUCCGCGAAAUCUAUUGAAGUAGAGCAUUUAAAAUCUUUUUUUGGGGUAGAGCACUCAUUGAGCUAGGGGGCGUAAAAACUUACUGAACUCUUAGAAACUCCGAAUACAAAAAAAAGUUAUUUAAAUAGACAGACAUUAGGCGCUAAGGUCUAUUGUCAAGAGGGAAACGGCCCAGAUUGAUCGCUAAGGUCUCUAAAUAAUAUUCUAAG
rnacentral:ncRNA from 1 species